GCCGAUGUAGCUCAGUUGGUCAGAGCAGCUGAUUUGUAAUCAGCAGGUCGUGGGUUCGAAUCCCUCCAUCGGCUC
rnacentral:tRNA from 2 species